GCCUCUGUUGGUAAACCCUAGUUCGCCACUGCCGCAUCUUCUGCCUCCAGUUGACUCCACUGUCGCUUCAGACGCAUCUAGGGCGCCGCAUCUUCUGCCUCCAGUUGACGAAAGUAGCGUACGGACUCAAUGGGAACUGAGCAAUGCGUGUUAAAUCUUAAUAGCAUGGUGAAUGUUCAUAGGAAUCUCUCACCAUGCCGAAGAUGAAAUCUGCGAAAGUGAUGCAGGUUGAUAAGUUCACAACAGCAGAUUUUCCUGCUGUCCGUGUAACUACUAAUCUUCAUGAAUCUUCUCUACAGUUUCUUCAAUCACUAUGCAAACAGAUAUUAUUUCGUUAGUGCCUUGUUGAGAAUAAGGAGCUAUGUGGAGGACGUGCUGUUUUUUCGAUUGGUUCAAAACACCUUAAAGCUGCCACUACAUGAUGAUCCAAAACUUGCAAUUGUGGUAUGGCCAACUGUUUGGAGACCAUUCAUCUAAAGAUGCACGUUCACAAGUCUCAACGUGAAACAGAUGUUUGGCUCGACAGAACUAAUAACAACAGUAUGAAACUACAGGUGGUUGUGGACCCAACAAUGCGGUUUGUUGACGUGGUUUCAAAUAUUUAGUUUGGCACAGAAAGGAGAGAAGCUAUAUGGGAAUGGAUUCAAACUUUCUGAACCUUGUGAUGAUUGAUUAAGAUUUGAAGAUUAGUUUUAAGGACCAUUUAGAUAGUUGGUUGUGAUGAUUGAUUAAGAUUUGACGUUUUCCAGAAAUAUAC